UGUACUAAUGGUUGCUGUUUUUCGAGACCUAUAAAAUUUUACUCUUUGAUCGGAAUCACAUGUACUUGUGCAGGCAUUGCUACAUUUAGUGAGUGGAUUUCUUUUCAAGUUUUUCUAAUAGCACUUCAGCUUCGCACGAACUAAGGAGGAUUUGCACGUAAAGCGGGGAACAAAGAGGUGGGGUAAAGCCCCACUAAU